UACGUAGGGUCCGAGCGUUGUCCGGAAUUAUUGGGCGUAAAGGGCUCGUAGGCGGUUUGUCGCGUCGGGAGUGAAAACCUACAGCUUAACUGUGGGCUUGCUUUCGAUACGGGCAGACUUGAGGCAUGCAGGGGAGAACGGAAUUCCUGGUGUAGCGGCGAAAUGCGCAGAUAUCAGGAGGAACACCGGUGGCGAAGGCGGUUCUCUGGGCAUGUUCUGACGCUGAGGAGCGAAAGUGUGGGGAGCGAACAGG
rnacentral:rRNA from 1 species